GAUGAACGCUGGCGGUGUGCCUAAUACAUGCAAGUCGAGCGAACACACGAUGAGCUUGCUCCUCUGCCGUUAGCGGCGGACGGGCGAGUAACACGUAGAUAACCUACUUAUUAGACUGGGAUAACUACGGGAAACCAGAUCCAAUACCAGCGAAUAUAUUCAACCGCAUGUAGCAAUAGUGAAUGACGGCUUUGCCGUCACAUAUAGAUGAAUCCGCGACGCCUUAGCUAGUUGGUAAGGUAACGGCCUACCAAGGCAACGAUGCGUAGCCGACCUGAGAGGCUGAUCGGCCACACUGGAACUGAGACACGGUCCAGACUCCUACGGGAGGCAGCAGUAGGGAAUAUUCGUCAAUGGGCGGAAGCCUGACGCAGCAACACCGCGUGAGUGAUGAAGGCCUUCGGAUCGUAAAACCCUGUUAUUAGGGAAGAACAACUGUAUGAUAAAAUACCCACGUUCUGACGGUACCUAAACAGAAAGCACCGGCUAACUACGUG
rnacentral:rRNA from 1 species